CCUCUGGAGAAUCAUACCAAUGAAAGUAGCUUUAUAGCAAAAUCGGAUUUGAUGAAUGAGGAA
rnacentral:sRNA from 12 species